rnacentral:rRNA from 1 species
UACGGAGGGAGCUAGCGUUGUUCGGAAUUACUGGGCGUAAAGCGCGCGUAGGCGGCUUUGUAAGUUAGAGGUGAAAGCCCGGGGCUCAACCCCGGAAUUGCCUUUAAGACUGCAUCGCUAGAAUCCGGGAGAGGUGAGUGGAAUUCCGAGUGUAGAGGUGAAAUUCGUAGAUAUUCGCAAGAACACCAGUGGCGAAGGCGGCUCACUGGCCCGAUACUGACGCUGAGGCACGAAAGCGUGGGGAGCAAACAGG